GACGAACGCUGGCGGCGUGCUUAACACAUGCAAGUCGAACGAUGAAGCUAGAGCUUGCUCUGGUGAAUUAGUGGCGAACGGGUGAGUAACACGUGAGUAACCUGCCCCGAACUCUGGGAUAACUGCUGGAAACGGUAGCUAGUACUGGAUACGACCUACGAAGGCAUCUUCUGUAGGUGGAAAGAAUUUCGGUUCGGGAUGGACUCGCGGCCUAUCAGCUUGUUGGUGAGGUAAUGGCUCACCAAGGCGACGACGGGUAGCCGGCCUGAGAGGGUGGCCGGCCACACUGGGACUGCGACACGGCCCAGACUCCUACGGGAGGCAGCAGUGGGGAAUAUUGCACAAUGGGCGCAAGCCUGAUGCAGCAACGCCGCGUGGGGGAUGACGGCCUUCGGGUUGUAAACCUCUUUUAGUAGGGAAGAAGCGAAAGUGACGGUACCUGCAGAAAAAGCACCGGCUAACUACGUGCCAGCAGCCGCCGUAA
rnacentral:rRNA from 1 species